CUCCAAAGAGUGAUUUGCCGUGGCACAGCAGGACAUAGGGAAUAUCCAUCCAACAAAUCGAGCGCACUCCGUCCUGCUACCGAACUUGUCCUCUGUGAGCUCCGUAGCAUUGCAUUAAAACGUCAAAAUCGGCGAUCUUUUCCAACACUGGAGCACAACGGGAAUGUGUUUGGCAGCGUCGAUUAAUAAUAAAACAGCAACGGACGACGAUAAAUUCCGUCCGAUUGUCCGACGAAGCGGCCAGGCCACAGUCGAAGAUUAGUCCGCUCCAGAAGGCAAACAGCGACCGACUCUCAGCUUAGGCAGACCCCUCCAACACACGCCCCCAACGGGAAAAAAACCCCAAAGGAAACCAAAAGACGCUAUCAUUUGACGGGUGCAAACACAGGAAACCAUAUUAAUCAUCAGAACUAAUCUGGCUCCUGCGUUUGGAAGGCUGUGCUUUUCCCCCAGUCCGCCGCCUCGCCGCUUUUGGUCGGGACAAUUUCAAGAUGGCGAUUUGAGCCGCAACAAGACAGAUUUUUGUGAAGAGCAAGAUGACCGUCAAGAUGGGAGGAAGUGUUGUUCGGAGGAAGGCCGGAAAGACGUGUUUUCCAUUUGGAGAAAAGCGCUGCUCCUGAUGUGUUAAGGACACGGCCAACAGAACCAGCAGUUCCGGCGUCUGCACCUGGAACCCAUUGAAUCAGACACACUCCAACCUGGCGAGGGACCAACUCCACGGCGCGGGGGGAAUUACUCGGUGUUGUGUGGAGUGAUGUCUCACAGGAUUACAGAGUGACAUUUCUGUCCUGGUGAAGCUUCUGGCGUCUGCGGAGGAACCCAAACAGAACUCGUCGCUCAUCCAUACCUUCAAAGAAGCUCAGGGAUGUCAGGAGGCCUAAGCUCCCAAUAUGGACACACUAUGGACGUGCAGUCGGGUGGGGGGGCAAGAAAAGAAAACAAGCUUACAGUUGUGAACAUCCAACGUUUUGGCAUGACUACUAUUUGAU